rnacentral:rRNA from 1 species
GACGAACGCUGGCGGCGUGCCUAAUACAUGCAAGUAUAACGCAGUUUCGAACGGGUGAGUAACGCGUAGGUAACUGCCUCAUAGCGGGGGAUAAAUAUUGGACACGAUAGCUAAUACCGCAUACUGUGAGAUGGACCUGCGUUGUAUUAGCUAGUUGGUGAGGUAAAGCCUCACCAAGGCGACGAUACAUAGCCGACCAACGAGGGUGAUCGUCCAUAGUGGGAUUGAGACACGGCACAGACUCCUACCGGAGGCAGAAGUAGGGAAUCUUCGGAAAAGGAAAGAAGUCUGACCGGGCAACGUCGCGAGAGUGAAGAAGGUCUUUGGAUCGUAAAGCUCUGUGGUUAGGGGAGCGGAAACAAACCAGAUAGGGAUGGCUAACUACGUGACAGCAGCGGCGGUAAUAC